rnacentral:tRNA from 4 species
GGGCUUGUGGUCUAGUGGUUAUGACGCCGCCUUGACGUGGCGGAUGUCCCCGGUCCAAAUCCGGGCAGGCCCA